UACGUAGGUGGCAAGCGGUAUCCGGAAUUAUUGGGCGUAAAGAGCGCGCAGGUGGUUGAUUAAGUCUGAUGUGAAAGCCCACGGCUUAACCGUGGAGGGUCAUUGGAAACUGGCGAGCUUGAGUGCAGGAGAGGUUAUCGGAAUUCCCGGUGUAGCGGUGAAAUGCGUAGAGAUCGGGAGGAACACCAGUGGCGAAGGCGGGUAACUGGACUGCAACUGACGCUGAGGCGCGAAAGUGUGGGGAGCAAACAGGAUUAGAUACCCCCGUAGU
rnacentral:rRNA from 1 species